rnacentral:rRNA from 1 species
AUUGAACGCUGGCGGCAGGCCUAACACAUGCAAGUCGAACGAGCGGCGGACGGGUGAGUAAUGUCUGGGAAACUGCCUGAUGGAGGGGGAUAACUACUGGAAACGGUAGCUAAUACCGCAUACCAUCAGAUGUGCCCAGAUGGGAUUAGCUAGCUGGUGGGGUAAUGGCUCACCAAGGCGACGAUCCCUAGCUGGUCUGAGAGGAUGACCAGCCACACUGGAACUGAGACAAGGUCCAGACUCCUACGGGAGGCAGCAGUGGGGAAUAUUGCACAAUGGGCGCAAGCCUGAUGCAGCAAUGCCGCGUGUGUGAAGAAGGCCUUCGGGUUGUAAAGUACUUUCAGCGAGGAGGCGUUACCCGCAGAAGAAGCACCGGCUAACUCCGUGCCAGCAGCCGCGGUAAUAC